GCCUAUCUUCCUGCCUCUAUUGGCCAAACAGUGUUUUAUCCAUCAGCCAAUGAGAGAAACAUAUAUACAGAAGGACAUCCCCCAUCAGACUGAACUCAUUAACUUUCCAUCAUGGAGGGGUCCCCAGUCUCACAAGGCCCCUCCCCACACAGGGAUUUAUAGAUCCUUAGGAGUUGCUAUAGUAGCACUGGAGAGAUGGCUCUGCUGUUAAAGACUAGGCUCACAACCAAAAAUAUAAGAGUUGCUAGAGUCUCCAAGAGAUUCUUUUCUUUAACAGUGUACACUGUCCACUCUUCUGCAAGUAUCCACACAACCACUCUCCGGAGCAAGGAUAUGGAUGAUCUGCAAAUGGAAACCUGGAAACUGAAUGAUCAGAGCCUUAACCAUGCUGCACACGAGGUCUCCACUAGGCUACGUCAUCAUCUGAAGCUCAUCCAGGCUGUCAACAAAAUUCAGCCCAGUGUUUCGCUGGCUGUUGGUGGGAUGCCAUACUUAGGCCCAGGAGGCUGCCCAUAGUCCCCACCAUAUGGCCUCCAGAUAAGCUGUUCACGACACUGCAGAUGAUUUCAUCGUGGCCAGUCUGUGUAUCUUCUUCACUCACUGACUUUUGUGUAACAAAAUGUAUCUAAUCAGCAAGAGAUUAGAUACAUUUCAUCCCUUUUGCACAUUCUAAGCUUCAGUGGGUUCUAUCUGAGCUCAAGGGGCUUGGACAAGGACUUUGGGGUCAUAGGAGGGUGUCUUUUAUUGCUACCUGGACUAUGAGAAGAUGAAGUGCUUUCCCCUGACCCCAGCAAUUGCCGGGUGUAGGGAUUUCAGGGAGCCAUUUUUCUUGUCUCAGUAUCAUUCAUAUGUAAAUUCCAGCUAGUAAUUUGCUUCCUGUCCACAUUGAAGCUUUUGGGGAGGUUAACUGAGACCACACAUGUGUAGAAGAUAUAAAACUAGGAGAUUAUGAUGUCCUGAUGACCAUAAGCUGGCUCCUAGCUUAUAUUGUAAGUGGUUAUUGUCCUUGGCACAGAGAAAGCAUUGGGUUGCAUAAAUUUCCCAUCUGUCUGUCAUGCAUGUCCUUGGACAACAAAUGACUAUAUUUAAUUUUAUAGAGAUAUUUAUGGUUUAAUCAAUUAUGGUGAUUGAAUAUAUAUGCAAAUGCUUAGCAACUGAAUUCUCAAGGGCACUUUUUCUGAAUGGUUUAAGCAUCAUACAUACAGAUUAUAUAGGUUUUGCAUAAUAGACAACUAGCCAGACACUUCUGCCAAACAAACGAAGGGCUGGAGUCAUGCCAUGGAUUCAGCCAAAACAGAAAACCUCCAUAUCUGCAGAAUGGCUCUGAGACCCCAAGAGAAUAAAUUCACUACCCUAGCAGCCUAGUCACCUCAUUUUUACCAAAGAGAGGGUAAAAAUCUACCAAAAUCCCAAGUUGUGUUUCAGGUCAAAGACUCCAAAAACCAAAAUGGCAAGUCACUUCCAGAUUGAGGUUUUCUUUGAAUAUUUAUUUAUAUUUAUUCAUGGCUUCAUGCAUAUGCGUGUGUGCAGGCAUGGGUGUGCAAGUAGGAAGACAGUUUGUGGGCGACAGUUCUCUUUCCACUAUGUGAACACCAGGGAUAGAACUCAAGCUGUAAGUCUUGGUGACAAGCAUCUGCAUCCACAGAGCCGUCUUGUUGGACUCUCCUCACAUCCUCAUUUCCCCCCCCCCUUUUUUUUUGAUAUAAUAAGUAUGUCUAACUACUACAUGCCCCUCACAGGAGUCCUGUUUCCAUGGCAACCUGUGGUAAAGGUUCUGUGUGUGUUGGGUGUUAUGGGUGCUGGAAUGACACAGUGUUUUGCCAGGUGUUACAAAAAUAUUGUAGUUGGUCACAGCCCAGGUCCAGACUCAAGAGUUAUCCUCAGCUAGGAGAGCUUCCUGGCUCAAGGCCAUGGCCUCUUUCAGGAGGAGCCUGAAACAUGAAUAUCAGAAAGAAAGAGUUAAGAUGCUUGUCCCCUUGGGUCCCAUUUGACUCAGCUCCAGAGUUCCCUAAAGGGUGUGAUAUGAACUUCUUCAAAACUGCCUCAUGUUUCAGUGCUUUCUCCUGCCUUGUCUUUUUGAAUCCCUUUCUGGUGGGUGCUGAUCAUAAGAUGCUCCCAGUCAGUCACCAUUUUGUGUCUGGUUCCCAGGAAUCGUGAACUAAGAGCCACCAUUAAGUUGGCUUCACCAUCAAGCAAUACUAGACCAGGUAACAAGUAGGUUAAAUAAUGGAGCAUCAAUCUUGGUCAAGGCACCAGCAGCUCAGGGACAUCAUCAAUGGUCUAGGACGUGUUCUGUUUUUCACUAUAAUCACGAGGAAGGAAAAAGAGUAGUUUUAAACACAGUUUCAGUGUAUAAAACAAUGACUCCAAUGAUAGCUUCAUAACCCUGAUUAUUUUUCUUUUUGAAAUUUUUUAAAAUUAAAAAUAAAUAAAUAAAAUGGUUCAUGGUGGCACAGACCUGUAAACCCAGCAACAAAGAAGGAAAGGCAGGAAGAUCACUGUUAUGGGUCUGGGGUAGUUCAGUCAUACCAUUAAUAAAUAUUAACAAAUAAGAGGCUUUUAUUUAUAUACAGGCACCAGGUCUGCACCUGAAACUUGGGAUUCCCAAACGCACAGCCCCCAGCCAUCUCAUUCAGGGUUUCACAAAGAUAAAGAACACGAAGUUACCUUCUGUCUUCUGCAAGCAGAAGGUAUCCCAAGCAAAGCAAGCUUUUGUUUACAGAAGCAGAACCAGCAGUUUUGUUACAGUUUUGAACAAGACUGGGCAAUUACAAAACUUAACCCUUAGCAGCCUUUCACAUUUGGAGCCCCCCCCUUUUGCUUUAUAGUUCUCCUAAACACAGUAAUUUUAAACUUUAAGCACAAAGUUAGCUGUCAACAUGUUAGUCAUCACAACCAUGUGUUCAAGACCAGCCUGGGCCACCCAUUAAAACCCUGUUUCAAAAGAAAAGGGUGGUGGUGGUAUUUAAAGUUCCUACAUAAUUGCCAGUGAAGCCCGGUGCAAGGCACAACAAUGACAAAAUGCUUUUAAAAUAUUAGGAAGUAUUAUUAUUUUAUUAUCAGUACUGUGUAUGUGCGAGAUGUGUCUACGUGGGCACACAUGGCAUGGCUUGUGGGUGGUGGUCAGAUGAAAACUAUAUGGAGUAAGUCCCUUCCUUCCAACUUUCUGUGGGUCCUAGGGAUUGAGUUUGGGUUACGAGGUUUGUGUAGCAAGCUCCUUUCACUGUUGAGCUAUCUUACCCAGCCCUUAAAACCCUUUUAAAAAUUAUUUCUUUGUGUGAACUGUGUCUUUGCUUGCCCCCCCCCCCCGUGUGUGUGUGUGUGGGGGGGAGGUGGAAGCCAAGGUUGACACUGAGGGGCUUCCUCAAUUGCUCUCCCCUUUAUUUUCGGAGACAAAGUCUUUCACUGAGCUCUGGAGCUUAACAUUUUGGCUAUGUUGGCUGGGCAGCAGGUCUAUGCGAUUUGUCUGUCUCUGCCUCUCAGUGCUGGGGUUCCAAAUGUGUGUCACUGUGUCCGUCUUGCCCCUGCCCACCAUGAGUGCAGAGCCUAUACCUGAUCUGGGGAGGGAGAGAACUAAGGAAAGAUAGACAGACAGGCAGAGAGAUGUAUAGAAAUACAGAAAACCUGGGAUCAAAUGGACUGGGAUCUCUGAUGGAGCAGCUACAGCACCCUGGGAGCUUAGGAUCUUUAUUGUAUACAGUUGAGCAGAGAAGUGGAGUUAUUGCAUACAGCUGGCGCUAUUACACAGAUAAACAAAGAGGCAGGGUUAAUGGUGUUUAGCUGGGUCAAGGAGCCAGGUUUAGCUAACCCAGGUAGGAGCAGUUCUAUAGGGGACCAGACUUUGGGCCAUACAUAUUUGGGGGAGAAGCAGAAAGCUGUGAUGGCCAUUUUCCCACACAGGGACUAGAGGAAGGCUUUGCUGUCUAUCCCAGCCUCACAGGAGAUAGGGUGGGCAGACUUCGCCAUUUUCCCAUGGGUCUGAGGUUUUGGAGUUCUUGACAUGGUUGUGCUCAUGUCAACAAUACACCUUCACCAAAUUUCACUCACCCAGGACUUCUGUACCCCAUACCCCAAACAAUCCCAUUUUCUUCUCUGGGUGGUUUGCUUUCCCCUAAGUAGUCACACUCUGUUUUCAUGCACAAUGCAAUUUGUUAUCUGUUCUUAUUUCCUCCUCUGCAUCUCCUUUAGACCAUUUCCUCUCCCCUGAAUGGUCUCCUGUCUAUGUUCAUGUCGUAUGUAUGUAUAUACAUACGUAGGUAUGCACCUAUGGACAUAUGUAUGUAUGUAUUUAAAUCCAGAUGCCACAGAAGAGAA
rnacentral:lncRNA from 1 species